rnacentral:rRNA from 1 species
CAUGCAAGUCGAGCGGGGGAAGGUAGCUUGCUACUGGACCUAGCGGCGGACGGGUGAGUAAUACUUAGGAAUCUGCCUAUUAGUGGGGGACAACGUUCCGAAAGGAGCGCUAAUACCGCAUACGCCCUACGGGGGAAAGCAGGGGAUCUUUGGACCUUGCGCUAAUAGAUGAGCCUAAGUCGGAUUAGCUAGUUGGUGGGGUAAAGGCUUACCAAGGCGACGAUCU